ACGCUCGACACCUACGGGAAGCAGCAGUGAGGAAUAUUGGUCAAUGGGCGCAGGCCUGAACCAGCCAAGUAGCGUGAAGGAUGACUGCCCUAUGGGUUGUAAACUUCUUUUAUAUGGGAAUAAAGUUUUCCACGUGUGGAAUUUUGUAUGUACCAUAUGAAUAAGGAUCGGCUAACUCCGUGCCAGCACGCCGGACGGUAAUCUGAGGCGGGCGUGGACGAAGGC
rnacentral:rRNA from 1 species